rnacentral:lncRNA from 1 species
GUCCCUGUGUUGUUUCCAGUGCGGGCCCCUCCCCCAGCCCACGCCUCGGUGUCUCUGUUCCCCGCAGAUGACGUGCCCCCCUAUUUCAAGACGGAGCCGGCGCGGACGCAGGUGCAUCUGGAGGGCAACCGCCUCGUGCUCACGUGCAUGGCCGAGGGCAGCUGGCCGCUGGAGUUCAAGUGGCUGCGCAACAGUCGGGAGCUGACCAGGUUCUCCCUGGAGUACAGGUACGUGAUCACCAGCCUGGACCGCACCCACGCCGGCUUCUACCGCUGCAUCGUGCGCAACCGGAUGNNNNNNNNNNNNNNNNGACAGACGGAGGUCCAGGUGGCCUACAUGGGGAGCUUCGAGGAGGGCGAGAAGCACCAGAGCGUCUCCCACGGAGAGGCCGCUGUCAUCCGUGCCCCACGCAUCUCCAGCUUCCCGCGGCCGCAGGUGACCUGGUUUCGGGAUGGCCGCAAGAUUCCGCCCAGCAGCCGCAUAGCCAUCACCCUGGAGAACACGCUUGUCAUCCUGUCGACCGUGGCGCCCGACGCGGGCCGCUACUACGUCGUCCCUCUGGCGCGGGUGGGGCUCAGAUGGGAUUCCCAGCGUCUGUUCCUCUCCCCAGAUGUCAGCGGCCCUGCAGACCCCAUCGCUCCAGCCAUCAUCAUUCCUCCCAAGAACACCAGCGUGGUGGCCGGGACCUCGGAGGUGACUAUGGAGUGUGUGGCCAAUGCCAGGCCUCUGAUCAAGCUGCACAUCAUUUGGAAGAAGGAUGGGGCGCUGCUGUCUAGCGGCAUCAGCGACUACAACCGCCGGCUCACCAUCCCCAACCCCACGGCCAGCGAUGCCGGCUACUACGAGUGUGAGGCCGUCCUGCGGAGCAGCAGCGUCCCCUCCGUCAUCCGUGGCGCCUACCUGUCCGUGCUGGAGCCACCUCAGUUUGUCAAGGAGCCAGAGAGACACAUCACAGCGGAGAUGGAAAAGGUGGUGGACAUCCCCUGUCGCGCCAAAGGUGUGCCGCCGCCCUCCGUGACCUGGUACAAGGACGCGGCCGUCGUGGAGGUGGGGAGGCUGAGCCGCUUCCGGCAGCGAGGCGAUGGGGGCCUGCAGAUCAGCGGGCUGGUGCCCGACGACACUGGCAUACUGCAGUGCUUUGCCCGGAACGCGGCCGGCGAGGCGCAGACCUCCACCUACCUGGCCGUCACCAGCAUNNNNNNNNNNNNNNNNNNNNNNNNNNNNNNNNNNNNNNNNNNNGACGGCAUGUCCGUGGUGCUGGCCUGUGAGACUUCGGGGGCGCCCCGGCCAGCCAUCACUUGGCAAAAAGGGGAGCGCAUUCUGGCGAGCGGCUCGGUCCAGCUGCCGCGCUUCACACUCCUGGAGUCGGGCAGUCUGCUCAUCAGCCCCACGCACAUCUCCGACGCCGGCACCUACACCUGUCUGGCCACCAACUCACGAGGGGCGGACGAAGCCUCGGCCGACCUGGUGGUGUGGGCCCGGACCCGCAUCACCAGGCCCCCCCAGGACCAGNNNNNNNNNNNNNNNNNNNNNNNNNNNNNNNNNNNNNNNNNNNNNCACGACCCCCGAGUGACCGUCAGGCACGUGUGGGAGAAAGACGGCGUCGCGCUGAGCACGGAGGGCAACCCCCGCACCUGGUCCGGGGACAUCGGCACCUACACCUGCCGGGUGCUCUCGGCCGGCGGCAACGACUCCCACAGCGCCCACCUGCGCGUGAGGCAGCUGCCUCACGCCCCCGAGCACCCCGUGGCGACCCUCAGUACCUCGGAGAGGAGGGCCAUCAACCUGACGUGGGCCAAGCCCUUCGACGGCAACAGCCCGCUGAUCCGCUACGUCCUGGAGAUGUCCGAGAACAAUGCCCCCUGGACGGUGCUCCUGGCCAGCGUGGACCCUGAAACUACCUCGGUGACCGUCAAGGGCUUGGUCCCCGCACGGUCCUACCAGUUCCGUCUUUGCGCUGUCAACGACGUGGGGAAGGGACAGUUCAGCAAGGACACGGAGAGGGUCUCCCUUCCUGAAGAGCCCCCCACAGCCCCUCCACAGAAUGUCAUCGCCAGUGGCCGGACCAACCAGUCCAUCAUGAUCCAGUGGCAGCCGCCCCCUGAGAACCACCAGAACGGCGUCCUCAAGGGCUACGUCAUCAGGUACUGCCUGGCCGGGCUUCCUGUCGGGUACCAGUAUAAGAACAUCACGGAUGCCGAAGUCAACAACCUGCUGCUCGAGGACCUCAUCAUCUGGACCAACUACGAGAUCGAGGUGGCCGCCUACAACAGCGCCGGGCUGGGCGUCUAUAGCAGCAAAGUCACCGAGUGGACGCUACAGGGGGUCCCCACAGUCCCUCCGGGCAACGUGCACGCCGAAGCCACCAACUCCACGACCAUCCGCUUCACCUGGAAUGCCCCCAGCCCCCAGUUCAUCAACGGCAUCAACCAGGGCUACAAGCUCAUCGCCUGGGAGCCGGAGCAGGAAGAGGAGGUCACCAUGGUGACCGCCCGGCCCAACUUUCAAGACAGCAUCCACGUGGGCUUCGUGUCUGGCCUGAAGAAGUUCACGGAGUACUUCACCUCGGUGCUGUGCUUCACCACCCCCGGGGACGGGCCCCGCAGCACCCCGCAGCUGGUGCGCACCCAUGAGGAUGUGCCUGGGCCUGUGGGACACCUGAGCUUCAGUGACGUCCUGGACACCUCGCUGAAGGUCAGCUGGCAGGAGCCAGGGGAGAGGAACGGCAUCCUCACAGGCUACCGGAUCUCCUGGGAGGAGUACAACCGCACCAACACGCGCGUGACCCACUACUUGCCCAACGUGACCCUGGAAUACCGCGUGACCGGGCUCACCGCGCUCACCACCUACACCAUCGAGGUGGCCGCCAUGACCGCCAAGGGCCAGGGCCAGGUGUCAGCCUCCACCAUCUCCUCGGGGGUGCCUCCAGAACUCCCCGGAGCCCCCACCAACCUGGGCAUUUCCAACAUCGGCCCGCGUUCCGUGACCUUGCAGUUCAAGCCAGGCUACGACGGGAAGACCUCCAUCUCCCGCUGGCUGGUGGAGGCCCAGGUGGGCGUGGUUGGGGAGGGAGACGAGUGGCAGCUGAUCCACCAGCUCCCCAACGAGCCCGACGCCCGCUCCAUGGAGGUGCCCGACCUCAACCCCUUCACCUACUACAGCUUCCGCAUGCGCCAGGUGAACAUCGUGGGCACCAGCCCACCCAGCCAGCCUUCUAGAAAGAUCCAGACCCUCCAGGCACCCCCUGACAUGGCCCCGGCCAACGUGACCCUGCGCACGGCCAGUGAGACCAGCCUGUGGCUCCGCUGGGUGCCUCUCCCGGAGAUGGCAUACAAUGGGAACCCCGAGUCGGUGGGCUACAAGAUCAAGUACAGCCGGGCAGACGGCCAUGGCAAGACGCUGAGCCACGUGGUCCAUGACCGCGUGGAGCGUGAGUGCACCAUCGAGGACCUGGAGGAGUGGACAGAGUACCGCGCUCAGGUGCAGGCCUUCAACGCUGUCGGGAGUGGGCCCUGGAGCCCGGCGGUGACGGGCCGUACCCGGGAGUCAGUGCCGUCCUCCGGGCCCACCAACGUGUCUGCGCUGGCCACCACCUCCAGCAGCAUGCUGGUGCGCUGGAACGAGGUCCCCGAGGCCGACCGCAACGGGCUUGUGCUGGGCUACAAGGUGCUGUACAAGGAGAAGGACUCGGACGCCCCGCCCCGGUUCUGGCUGGUGGAAGGGAACUCCUCCCGCAGCGCCCAGCUCACAGGCCUGGGCAAGUACGUGCUGUACGAGAUCCAGGUGCUGGCCUUCACGCGCAUCGGCGACGGGGGACCAAGCCACCCUCCCAUCCUGGAGCGGACCCUGGACGACGUCCCGGGACCCCCCGUGGGCAUCCUAUUCCCGGAGGUGCGGACCACGUCGGUGCGGCUGGUCUGGCAGCCCCCCGCUGCCCCCAACGGCAUCAUCCUUGCAUACCAGAUCACCCACCGGCUCAAUGCCACUUCGGCCAACGCUGCCGCUGUGGAGGUGCUCGCGCCCAGCGCCCGCCAGUUCACGGCCACCGGCCUCAAGCCGGAGUCUGUCUACCUGUUCCGCAUCACGGCCCAGACCCGCAAGGGGUGGGGAGAGGCUGCCGAGGCCUUGGUGGUGACCACCGAGAAGAGAGACCGCCCGCAGCCCCCCAGCAAGCCGGUGGUGCAGCAGGAGGACGUGAAGGCACGCAGCGUGUUGCUGUCCUGGGAGCCGGGCAGCGACGGGCUGUCCCCCGUGCGCUACUACACCGUCCAGACUCGCGAGCUGCCCAGCGGCCGAUGGGCGCUGCACUCAGCCUCCGUGAGCCACAACGCCUCCACCUUCCUCGUGGACCGGCUCAAGCCCUUCACAUCCUACAAGUUCCGCGUGAAGGCAACCAAUGACAUCGGAGACAGCGAGUUCAGCGAGGAGUCAGAGCCCCUGACCACCCUACAAGCCGGUCAGCCCGGCUCCAUCAUCCUACCCUCUGCCCUGCAGCCGCCGUCGGAGGACAAGAUCAACGGAAUCCUCCUGGGCUUCCGGAUCCGCUACCGAGAGCUGCUCUACGACGGAAUGAGGGGCUUCACGCUGCGCGGCAUCAACAACCCAGGGGCCAAGUGGGCGGAGCUCACCUGUGAUAAAAUGGCUUCUGGUUCAUAUGAGGAAAUUAACGACACCGCUCCAUCACGGCAGGAACUCAACCUGAACAAGCACCGGCGCUACGAGAUCCGCAUGAGCGUGUACAACGCCGUGGGCGAAGGGCCCUCCAGCCCCCCGCACGAGGUCUUUGUCGGGGAGGCAGUGCCCACAGCAGCGCCCCGCAACGUGGCCGUCCAUGGCCCCACGGCCACACAGCUGGACGUGACGUGGGAGCCGCCUCCGCUGGAGAGCCAGAACGGGGACAUCCAGGGCUACAAGAUCUAUUUCUGGGAGGCCCAGCGGCGGAACUUGACUGAGCGGGUGAAAACGCUUUUCCUGGCCGAGAACAGCGUCAAGCUCAAGAACCUGACAGGCUACACCACCUACAUGGUUAGCGUGGCAGCCUUCAACGCCGCCGGGGACGGGCCUCGGAGCACCCCCACCCGGGGCCAGACCCAGCAAGCAGCCCCCAGCGCUCCCAGCUCCGUCAGGUUCAGCGAGCUGACCACCACCUCCGUGAACGUGUCCUGGGGGGCCCCGGAGUUCCCCAACGGCGUCCUGGAGGGCUACCGGCUGGUGUACGAGCCCUGCACGCCCGUGGAUGGGGUCAGUAAGAUCGUGACGGUAGAUGUGAAGGGCAGCAGCCCCCUGUGGCUGAAGGUGAAGGACCUGGCGGAGGGGAUGACCUACAGGUUCCGCAUCAGAGCCAAGACCUUCACCUACGGGCCUGAGAUCGAAGCCAACGUCACCACAGGCCCUGGAGAAGGUAGGGGAGCCUUGGUGCCCAUCAUCGUGCGGUACAGCUCAGCCAUUGCCAUUCACUGGUCCAGCGGAGACCCAGGCAAAGGGCCCAUCACCCGCUACGUCCUCGAGGCUCGGCCUUCAGGUACGUCCGCCCAGGCUGAGCCGGCUGGGGGUCAUCGCGUGACCAGCAUGGACAUCCUCAAGCCAGGUGUGAGCUACGACUUCCGGGUCAUCGCAGUCAAUGACUACGGUUUCGGGACGCCCAGCAGCCCCUCCCAGUCUGUGCCAGCCCAGAAAGCCAACCCCUUCUACGAGGAGUGGUGGUUCCUGGUGGUCAUCGCCCUCGUUGGCCUCAUCUUCAUCCUGCUCCUCGUCUUUGUGCUCAUCAUCCGAGGCCAGAGCAAGAAGUAUGCCAAGAAGACAGACGCAGGUGAAGCAGUUUUCCUGCUCUGGAACUCAACAACCGGCGACUCUCUGUCAAGAACUCCUUCUGCCGAAAGAAUGGCCUGUAUACCAGGUAAUGGGCUCUCUGCGUGGGGUCCUGGGCGGGUGGAGGUGGGGCCGGCAUCGCCUGGGCCACAGAGCAGGCAGCAUGAUACUGAGUGGGUUGCCAUUUCCUCCUCCACAUCUGUAUCGGCAGGCGGAUUCUUUACCACUGCGCCACCAGGACAGCCCCCCGGGAAGCAGCAUUCGCUGGGAAUGGUCACUAGGCAGAGAGCCAGGCCCAGGCAGCUCCACAGCGGGGUGGGGAGAAAGUCACGAGGAGCUGGGGACAGAGGGUGUCUGCCAACCACAGCAGGAUGCAAAUCGCUUGCACAACUUUGCAAACCACUAACUGCUGUUUGGGGCCAAGUGCUCCUGGUACAGGCCUGA